UACGAAGGGGGCUAGCGUUGCUCGGAUUCACUGGGCGUAAAGGGUGCGUAGGUGGUUAGGUAAGUCCGAUGUGAAAUCUCCAGGCUCAACCUGGAAAUGGCAUUGGAUACUAUUUAGCUUGAGGAGUGGAGGGGGGACUGGAAUUCUCGGUGUAGCAGUGAAAUGCGUAGAUAUCGAGAGGAACACCAGUGGCGAAGGCGAGUCCCUGGACACUUCCUGACACUGAGGCACGAAAGCUAGGGGAGCAAACAGG
rnacentral:rRNA from 1 species